rnacentral:rRNA from 1 species
AGAGAUAGAGGAGUGCUCGAAAGAGAGCCGUAACACAGGUGCUGCAUGGCUGUCGUCAGCUCGUGUCGUGAGAUGUUGGGUUAAAGUCCCGCAACGAGCGCAACCCUUGUCAUUAGUUGCUACAUUCAGUUGGGCACUCUAAUGAGACUGCCGGUGACAAACCGGAGGAAGGUGGGGAUGACGUCAAGUCCUCAUGGCCCUUAUAGGUGGGGCUACACACGUCAUACAAUGGAUGGUACAAAGGGUCGCCAACCCGCGAGGGGGAGCCAAUCCCAUAAAGCCAUUCGUAGUCCGGAUCGCAGUCUGUAACUCGACUGCGUGAAGUCGGAAUCGCUAGUAAUCGUGGAUCAGAAUGUCACGGUGAAUACGUUCCCGGGUCUU